CAUCCGACAGCUUUAUUCUUUAUUUAUUUGGCAUUCACCAGCUUUAUUCUUUAUUUAUUUGGUAUCCCGCAACUUUAUUCUUUAUUUACUUGACAUCCGACUGCUUUAAUCUUGAUUUACCUGGCAUCCGACUGAUUUAUUCUUUAUUUACUUGGCAUCCGACUGAUUUAUUCUUUAUUUACUUGGCAUCUGAUGCUUUAUUCUUUAUUUAUUUGGCAUCUGACUGCUUUAUUCCUUGUUUACUUGGUGCUUUAUUUUUUAUUUACUUGGCAUGCAACAUCUCUAGUCUUCAUUGACAUAUUGCAUAAGCUGACACGUGAACGUUAUUUGUCUUUUCUACCACAAAACUAUCAUACCUUGGAAAUAAUAAUCAAGGUACUAAUUACUAAAGUACCAAGUAGAAAGGUGUAAUUUUCUUAGGAACUUUCAACGCACUUGGGUCAGACUCCAAGUUAAUGAUGGAUGAUUGGCUAGAUAAGUGGUUUGGCGACACAUAUGUUUUUCGCGAAGGAGUUCUUAUAGGAGUUUGGCCAGUGAGGGUGUUCUUAAAUGUAGGUGAGUGAUGAGGGAGUUGGAUUUGGAAGUUAAGGGUUAGGCGAGGACUUUGCUGGCUAGGAGAUAUAGGAGUGGAUGGUAAUGGGGGAUCAACAACUAAACUAGGUGUGGUUUGUGUUUCAGGAAUAUGUGGUGGUAAAGUCUGAUUUUCUUGCAAGGAAGUGGCGGAUCAAUUUCAUCAUCAGCAUCAUUGUCAAGCGAAUGAUGUUGUUCUUGGGAUGAUUUGGCAGACGACUCUAAAAUCAAAGUUCUCUUAAUAGGCACCUUUAGCCACUUUUUAUGUUUUGGCUCAUGGAGAGCUAGGUCCUCUUUGUCUACACCACCCACUUUCCAUGCAGUUUGUGUUUUCCUUUUGAGCGGGGCAAUGAUGGAGAUUCUUGGGUUUAUGAACCCUCUCCUUCUUUUGGCGCUUGUGUUUUUAAUCUUUGCGCUUCCUCCUUGUUGUGAUGAACAGUUUGAAUACGAUUCAGACCCGUGAGGUUGUAAUUUCCUGUCGUUAUGUUAGUUUGCGGGAAUCUAGCUAGGGUUGGUAGAUACUUUAGACACAACUUCUCCAAGGUAGAUAGGAAUGGUGUUGCUCCCUUUGAGUUUCUUCACCAAUCAAGAAUUGCUCUAUUGAUAAUUUCUUAUAGAUUAAACGUCUGCUUUGUCAUGAUAUAAUAGAGAACUAACGCAUACUCCAAGGGCAUUGCGCUAUCAUAACAUGUAGGAAGGAUCUUUUUAACGAAAAACACUAAGACUUUUGCCUUGGUUGUCAACUGGUGUGGGAACUCUUGAAGUCUUUCAAUUGGUGUUUUUGUCCACUUAGCCCUUAGCCUUGCGAUUAAUUGGUUAACCUUUUUCGCAUCUCUCCGCAUUGGGCUAUCAAUAAUGCUCUGGUCGGAGUAUGCUUCAGGGUCAUUAAGUAGGUCGUACAACUCAUUAAUCUCUUCCAAAGUAAAUGAGACUUUCUCUCCUUCCACUACGACAUAUGAUUCCUGAGGGUGGAAAUUUGCUGCAUAAAAUAUCUCGACCAGAUCCAACCUUAUCUUUGUUUCACCUAUAAAAAACUUCUCUCAUUAGAGCGCCUUGAUUGGACCGCAGAGAAAGUCGGGUAAUAGCCCAUUAAAAGAUAGCAAUUUUCAAUCUUUAUGAUUCUUUCUAGAUCUUGGGUAUCCAUCAUUUUCCCUUUUUCUAUCAUCCUUAGGUAUGGAUGUCCCUACCUUGGCCUUUUCCUUUCUGAGGACAUUUGCUGCUUAGAAGCUCGAGUUAUUCAGUUUGCAUUAAUGAUUCCGUACAACUCAUUAUUUCAAUUUCUGUGUCAAUUCUUCAGCCACAAUAUCCAUGUGGUCAAUUUCCUGUUUUUCUAUCGCUUCAUUUGUGGCGGCCACCCUGUUUACCUACUCGCUUAAGUCUGCGAGGGGUAUCAAGUUUUGUCUUCUUAGUGGCUUGCACCUCCGCUAACUUACUCUUCGCUCCUUCUAGGGAGGUGAUACUUUGCUUUUUCUUUGCAGAUAAUUGGCGAAGACGUUCAUCCUCCUCGUGUGCCUUGUCUUUUUCUCUUUUUGUCGCCAUCAUGUGUGUCUUGUGUGCGUACUCCUGUUGUCUUUGCUUCUCAUCCUCCCUGAUUCUUAAUUCUUCUCUCUUUGUAUGAUCGUCUCGCAAGGGCCUCUCCUCAUCUUUCUUAUUUCUUGUUCACGCAUCCUCUCUUUUCUUUUCUUCUUCCACACAAUCCUUUCUUACUAAGCGGCUCGCAGGCUCUUCAAAAAUUUCUUCACUUGACCCUACAAGUGAGACGAGAUUUCCAAGCUUUGGUGGCCUGAAAUUCUUUGGGAUUUAAACCGAACCACAUAUGCAGUCUGGUUUUGAUUCAGUUUGUCAUAAACGUGCGGUUCUGGUCGAUUUUGUAUGAGAUUUUUUUUUGCAUUUUGUGGUUUUGUUUGAAACCAAACUGUGAACACCUCUAGUAAAAACCAUGGUAUGAUCUGAAAAAUAAUGACAUUGAAGAAGUGUUUGUAUCAACAAAAUUGUUAAUAAAAGUCAAUCCAUGACACAACAAAAGUGUCGUCAAUAACGAAAAUGUUAUAAAAAUAAACUAAUUUGGACUUCAACAAUGACAA